rnacentral:rRNA from 1 species
GCCUAAUACAUGCAAGUCGAACGAGGACGCUGCGUGAGCAAUCAUGCGGCGGUUCUAGUGGCGCACGGGUGAGUAACACGUGGGCAACCUGCCCUGGAGCCUGGGAUACCCUCUCGAAAGGGAGGCUAAUACCGGAUACGUUCCUCGGAUCGCGAGAUCUGGGGAGGAAAGGUGGCGCAAGCUGCCGCUCUUGGAGGGGCUCGCGGCCUAUCAGCUAGUUGGUGAGGUAAUGGCUCACCAAGGCUAUGACGGGUAGCUGGUCUGAGAGGACGACCAGCCACACGGGGACUGAGACACGGCCCCGACUCCUACGGGAGGCAGCAGUGGGGAAUUUUCCGCAAUGGGCGAAAGCCUGACGGAGUGACGCCGCGUGGGGGACGAAGGCCUUCGGGUCGUAAACCCCUGUCAGAGGGAAAGAAGGGUGGCGGCGCGAUAACCGACGCCACCUGACGGUACCUUCAGAGGAAGCCCCGGCCAACUCUGUGCCAGCAGCCGCGGUAAGACAGAGGGGGCUAGCGUUGCUCGGAAUCACUGGGCGUAAAGGGCGCGUAGGCGGGGCGGCAAGUCGGUCGUGAAAUCCUCCGGCUCAACCGGAGAACGUCGGCCGAAACUGCCGUUCUUGAGGGAUGCAGAGGAGACUGGAAUUCCCGGUGUAGCGGUGAAAUGUGUAGAGAUCGGGAGGAACACCGGUGGCGAAGGCGGGUCUCUGGGCCGAUACUGACGCUGAGGAGCGAAAGCGUGGGGAGCGAACAGGAUUAGAUACCCUGGUAGUCCACGCCGUAAACGUUGGGCGCUAGGUGUGGGAUCCCUUCCACGGGUUCCGUGCCGCAGCUAACGCAUUAAGCGCCCCGCCUGGGGAGUACGGCCGCAAGGCUAAAACUCAAAGGAAUUGACGGGGGCCCGCACAAGCGGCGGAGCAUGUGGAUUAAUUCGAUGCAACGCGAAGAACCUUACCUGGGUUUGACAUGGGGAGUGUGGGUCGCAGAGAUGUGACCCUUCAGUUCGGCUGGCUCCCACACAGGUGCUGCAUGGCUGUCGUCAGCUCGUGUCGUGAGAUGUUGGGUUAAGUCCCGCAACGAGCGCAACCCUCAUCUUCAGUUGCCAUCAUUAAGUUGGGCACUCUGAAGAAACUGCCGGUGACAAGCCGGAGGAAGGCGGGGAUGACGUCAAGUCCUCAUGGCCCUUACGGGCUGGGCUACACACGUGCUACAAUGGCGGUGACAAUGGGAUGCAAUGGGGCGACCCGGUGCCAAUCCCAAAAAGCCAUCUCAGUUCGGAUUGUACUCUGCAACUCGAGUGCAUGAAGUCGGAAUCGCUAGUAAUCGCGGAUCAGCACGCCGCGGUGAAUACGUUCCCGGGCCUUGCACACACCGCCCGUCACA